ACCGAGGUCGCUCAGUGGUUAAAGCAACAGGGCGUAAACCUGAGAGGUCUGGGUUCGCAUCCCAGUCGAGGUU